rnacentral:rRNA from 1 species
UACGUAGGGAGCAAGCGUUGUUCGGAUUUACUGGGCGUAAAGCGGGUGUAGGCGGCUCUAUAAGUCAGGAGUGAAAUCCCCGAGCUUAACUUGGGAAGUGCUUUUGAUACUGCAGAGCUUGAAUGUGGGAGAGGAUAGUAGAAUUCCAGGUGUAGUGGUGAAAUACGUAGAUAUCUGGAGGAAUACCGGUGGCGAAGGCGGCUAUCUGGCCCAACAUUGACGCUCAGACCCGAAAGCGUGGGGAUCAAACAGG